GUAAAUAUAGUUUAAAUAAAACAUUAGACUGUGAAUCUAAAGACAGGUAAUAAACUCCCUUAUUUACC
rnacentral:tRNA from 1 species